AAUGAACGCUGGCGGCAGGCCUAACACAUGCAAGUCGAGCGCCCCGCAAGGGGAGCGGCGGUCGGGUGAGUAACGCGGGGCAACGUACCUUUUGCUUCGGAAUAGGCCCGGGAAACUGGGAGAAAUACCGAAUGCGUCCUACGGGGGCAAGAUUUAUCGGCUAAAGAGUGGUCCGAGUUGGAUUAGGUAGAUGGUGGGGUAAUCGCCUACCAAGCGGACGAUCCAUCGCUGGUUUGAGAGGAUGACCAAGCACACUGGGACUGAGAGACGGCCGGGACUCUCACGGGAGGCAGAAGGGCGGAAUCAUAAACAAUGGGCGCGAGCCUAAUCUAUCCAUGCCGCAUGAGCGAUGAAGGCCUUAAGGUUGUAUAGCUCUUUCAUGAGGGAAGAUAAUGACGGUACCCCAAGAAAAAGCCCCGGCUAACUCCGUGCCAGCCGCCGCAGUAACAC
rnacentral:rRNA from 1 species